GAAUUCAAAAAUUCAAUGAAUCACCGAAUCCUGCAACGCACAUUACGCACCCCAGUAUGCUGCCGGCCACACCGAUGCCAGAACCAAGACAACCCUCAAGAAAAGCUUGAUGUAGGGACUCGCGGUAACCAGAAGUCCCCAAAUCGAUUGGCGGUCA
rnacentral:rRNA from 1 species